rnacentral:rRNA from 1 species
UACGGAGGGUGCAAGCGUUGUCCGGAUUUAUUGGGUUUAAAGGGUGCGUAGGCGGCUAUUUAAGUCAGUGGUGAAAUCCAGCAGCUCAACUGUUGAACUGCCAUUGAUACUGAGUAGCUUGAAUAUAGUUGAGGUAGGCGGAAUUGACGGUGUAGCGGUGAAAUGCAUAGAUAUCGUCAAGAACCCCGAUUGCGAAGGCAGCUUACUAAACUAUAAUUGACGCUGAGGCACGAAAGCGUGGGGAUCAAACAGG